CGGGACGUAGUUCAGCCUGGCUAGAACGCCACGUUCGGGACGUGGAGGUCGCUGGUUCAAAUCCAGUCGUCCCGACCA
rnacentral:tRNA from 2 species